rnacentral:rRNA from 1 species
UAGGGUAUCUUCCGCAAUGGACGAAAGUCUGACGGAGCAACGCUGCGUGAGUGAAGAAGGAUUUCGGCUCGUAAAACUCUGUUGUUAGGUAAGAAAAAAUGUAUAGUAACUAUAUACAAAAGAGACGGUACCUAACCAGAAAGCCACGGCUAACUACGUGCUAGCAGCCGCGGUAAUACGUCGGUGGCAAGCGUUGUACGGAAUUAUUGGGCUUAAAGGGCAUUUAGGCGGUAAGACAAGUUGAUGGUGAAGACCUGUGGCUCAACCAUAGGCUUGCCUACAAAACUUUUGAACUAGAGUACUGGAAAGGUGGGUGGAACUACACGAGUAGAGGUGAAAUUCGUAGAUAUAAGUAGGAAUGCCGAUGAUGAAGAUAACUCACUAGACAGAACCUGACGCUGAAGUGCGAAAGCUAGGGGUGCAAACAGG